AUUGAACGCUGGCGGCAUGCCUUACACAUGCAAGUCGAACGGCAGCACGGGAGCAAUCCUGGUGGCGAGUGGCGAACGGGUGAGUAAUACAUCGGAACGUGCCCAGUAGUGGGGGAUAACCCGGCGAAAGCCGGACUAAUACCGCAUACGACCUACGGGUGAAAGCGGGGGAUCGCAAGACCUCGCGCUAUCGGAGCGGCCGAUGUCAGAUUAGGUUGUUGGUGGGGUAAAGGCCCACCAAGCCGACGAUCUGUAGCUGGUCUGAGAGGACGACCAGCCACACUGGGACUGAGACACGGCCCAGACUCCUACGGGAGGCAGCAGUGGGGAAUUUUGGACAAUGGGCGCAAGCCUGAUCCAGCCAUGCCGCGUGCGGGAAGAAGGCCUGGUGUAACG
rnacentral:rRNA from 1 species